rnacentral:rRNA from 1 species
CCAAUAGCGUAUAUUAAAGUUGUUGCAGUUAAAAAGCUCGUAGUUGAAUUUUAGGCCUGGCCGGGCGGUCCGCUUUGGCGAGUACUGUCCUGUGUCGGGUCCACCUUCUGGUGAACCAGUAUGUCCUUUAUUGGGUGUGCCGGGGAGCCAGGACCAUUACCUUGAAAAAAUUAGAGUGUUUAAAGCAGGCAUUUGCUUGA